UAAACAUAAUUCAAGUUGAUAACUAGUUCAUAAUUGAGCUUGUCAUGAGGUCGAAUGAUGCAGCCAUGACAAACUAAACACGAACCAUGACUAUACUUAUAGGCAAACUGAAGGUCGAAUUCAACUGAUGCAGCUUGAUUUGUUGAAGGACUCGUCGAGAUCUACUUCUACUCAUACUCCUAAGGUUGGUGGCCGGAGCCGAAAGGGUUUGUAUUAUGAUUGUGUAUAUUCUUUACAAGGAUCAGGUACCUAAUAUUUAUAGCCCGGAGCCCUAGUCUCAUGUCCUGACACGACUCUUUCCUCAAAAAGGCAACUAGGACUCUAACUUUACUUCUUUAAUCGAACCCAACACGUCUUCUUUCGUCUUGCCUAGUUUUGACACCCUUCUGAUCAACUAAUUGUACUGCGCCUUUGUUUAGUUGAUCUACUUAUCCGGUUGUCCCUCCUUCUGCGAAGCAGGCCCACUUGCCAGUGUCUCCCCAAAAUUUGGGAUUAACAAGAUCAAUGUAUGAUCUCAUGGCGGCUUAUGUGCUGGGGAGGAAGAGACUGGGGUGGGCGACGGGUGGGGUUCCAUUGAAGCCAGGGGAGUGGGUAUCAUACGCGAUGGAACGGGCGGUGGCAGCAAUCCAACACCAGAUCGGUAGUGGGUGAGUUGUCGGGUGGCACCCGAGGUGAUCCCUGUCGCCACCGCACUUGGGAAAGCCAGGGGAGGUGCAUUGCUGCGUCCAGUGGCGGACCUAGCAUUUUAUCAUAGGGUAUGCCACGCAAAAAAAAAUUACGCAAUUCGAUAAAACCACUUCCAAUUUGGUAAAAACAAUGUGCAUUAAAUAAUAUGAUAAGUCUUAAAUUUAAAGAUUAGCUAGAAAUUAUAACAAAUUAUGAUAUAAAGAAAAGAAAUACAAAUAAUUUGAAAUAGUAGCCAUAAAAGAGACAUACAGCAAGAUGGGAUGAAAAGAUAGCAAAAGAAAGGAUGAAAUAUAUUAUUUAUAGUUAUAAUAUCUAGAGGGGAUAAAAAAUAAAAAAUACAAAUAAAGACACAUAGGUGUCAUGGGAUACAACAUGAUGGGACAAAAAUAAUAUAAAAACUAAUCCAUACUUAAUUUUAAAAGUUACAAAAGAAAAUAGAAAAUUAAAAUGUCAUUGCAUAUAGCUAUUGAUAAGUGAUAAUAAAACGAAGUCGAGGUUAUAUUACUUUUAUUUAUUAUUUUAUUUCAUGAGGUGUCAUAGGAAACAACAACUUAGGAUAAAUAAAAUUAGAAAGUAAAGGACAAAAUAUAUUAUACUAGUUAUUAAUAUUGAGAGGGGAUAAAAGACCACAAAUUAAAAGCUAUUCGCGGGACAUAGCAAGAUGGAAGAAAUAUAAAAACAUAUUAUAUAUAGGUAAUUUUUAAAGGGGCAAAAAAAGGAGAAUAAAGAAAUGGGAAACAGAAAAUGAAGACGAAAAUUGCAGCUGCAAAGGUUUGAACUGGUGACCUCUUGAUUAAGAACCAAAAGACAUAGCAUUGGGCUAGCAAGACAUACUAAUAAUAUUUGCUGUAAGUAUUUAUAUGUAAACAAUGCACUAUUAAUUAAGUAGAAGGUUGACCCACAGGGUAUGCCGUGGCCCACCUGGCAUACCCCGUGGGUCCGCCCCUGGCUGCGUCGGAUUGAGCGGUGGCAAUCUAGCCCCAAAUGGCUGCACCAAGACAAUAGGCGCAAACUCAGGCACUCGUCUCUGUCCGGUAACUCAGCACUCGUGCAUCCUUCUCUCUGGUGUCGUCUCUCUCCCUCCACUGCCACAGUCACUGGGACAUGCAAAGGUGCGACCUUGACACUAGAUUUGGCUCCCCCUCGUGCCCCUACUCCCUAGAGGCAUCGCCUUUGCUUUGAUCUAUGGUUUUGUGCGGUCAUCAGUUCCUUGUGAUCUCUUCUUUAGGGACGGUUUUCCGGCAGGUUACUGACUAUAUUGCGGAGCCAAAAUUGAAUCGCUGGGCUGUGGUUCUUGCCACCGUGGAGCACCAAAUCUGGAGCUUGGAGGAGAGUGGAGGCUUCCGCCCAUUGCUGAGGCUGGUCAAUCCAAAAUUUGUUUAGGUAGUUUGAAUUUGAAUAGGUUGUGUUUCUUAUGAAAUUCUGGAGCUUGGUGGUAGGCUACUAUGUGCUCUAAUUUUGUGUGCACCUUUUUUUCUCUCAGAUUUUAAGAAUCUGAAUUGCUUUGAAAUUUCGCUUGCCUCCUAUAACUACUUGUGUUGUAUAAAGUGUGAGUAGCUUAGUUGCAAUUUGAAGGAUCCGUAACUUCUUAAGUAUGAUGCUCC
rnacentral:lncRNA from 1 species